UCCACACUAUAUAAUUAGACAGAGAAAAAAUUAAAAGUAACAAAAAGCAAAAGAGCAAGAAAUUAGAGAUCUGAAAAGCUAUGAACCAACCUGUCUUGUACCAAAAUUAAAGAACAGGUAGUGUGAAAAAGUUCAGAUUUUUCUACACAAAUAAGGAUCAAAGAGGAUUUAUAAUAGAACCUAAUCCUUGUAAAAUAAGACCUAAAACCAACCUGAGGGAAAAAAAAACCUUUUAGUUGCUUUGAUGAAUUAAAAAGGAAAACUGAUGUUAAUACCAACAAAAAAAACAAAAAUUGGAUCACUAUUCUGAAACACCUGGCUUUCAAAAACACCCUUAUGGGCUUGAUUCUUUUUGUGUAAUUCAAAAUCAAGAAAACAAACCCAGAAAAAUUGAAGCUUGAAAGACAGACGAUUACAGAAAGGGAUCUGAGAAGCGGGGAAUCAGGAGAAGGGGUAGAGAGAACGAAGAAGAUGAUCAAAACACUCAAAAUAUUUGUGGUGGCCUCACUUUGAUUUUUCUCUCUUGCAGAAAUGGUGACCCUAUAAUUGUCUAUAUAAAGGCCAAGGCCAGCUCCAUAUUUUGUCUCUCUUAACCCACCUAUUUUUUGCUUAAUUAUCACUUUCCGUGUAUCUACUACCAAUUCUAUGACUGCAACCCAAUCAAAAACAUGACACCUACAACCAUGACCGGAUUUGGCUAGAGUGUUUAGCCUCUCUUUUUUUUUAUAAUUCCCGUAUGUUCUAACAAAUUACAUUGACCGAUGGAUAGUAUGAGCUUCUUCUUUUUU
rnacentral:lncRNA from 1 species